ensembl:snoRNA
AUUGGUUGAAAAUCACCCCCGGGCUUUGGCCACGGCUGCAGGCGAGAUUCAAUGCCCAGAGCCUCAGCUCACCACACACUGCCCCGUGUGUGGCGGUGAAACCCAGGCCCCAGCGGA